GGGGAACUAACCAUUCCCCAGGACCACAAGGUCACAACAGUACAAAAAGUACUGGUGCAGUCGCAGCACAAAGUUGUCCUACAGACGAGUGGCUUGCUGGCUAGCUAACAUGCCACACGGGUCAAGGCAAUAAGGGAAACGCUCGUGUCAAAGUGACGUCAUACUCACUCUGGACUCAAGACAUUUAAAGUAACAGCUAAGCAACCUUGCUAACUGUGGCAGUAAGUUGUUCUGUACAACUGGAAACCCCGGCCGGGGGGGGGUUAACACUUUUCAUUGAAAACUUGUUUUGAGAAGUUUAGCAGUGUACUGGAAAAACUAUUGGGUCCUAUACAACAUCACUGGGAGCAACCUUGAUGUCAGGGAUACAAUCUACUCAGUCGGGAGAGAAGAAGUGUCCCGCGCGCUGCAGCGCAUGCUGUCUGCAUGAAGUCACAAAGACAGGAGCAGCGCCAACAGUCCAGUCGUAGAUGUGGAGGAACAGAGGCACCGAUGAUGGGUGCACAACAGGGAAUUGGAGGAAGGACAACAACGGACAGCCUCCAUAGCCUGACAGAAAAGUUAUGCACUUCGAAACUAGUUAGGUCUUGGCAAAAACAUGUUUCUCGUCAACAAAGGCGUGUGCAUAAUCUCUGUGGACUCAUCUUACCAUCCACGGGCUUGAAUGUGUUCCUCGUUAUCAACAAAGUUGUAAGAAAUCUUUCCCCCCCCAAAGUGUCUACAGUAAACAGACACAACCCAGAGUUCCAUGACAUCACCUGCACUCGCAGAGUUUGUUUAUAGUGAACUGCAUGAAUCAUUGUUAUCAGGAGAACAAUGUACAUAUAUUAAUGAGGUAGGCUGAGGUUUAAUGAACUUGCUAUUGUGUAGACAUGGAAAAACAGAGUUGAAGAGUAAAAUAAAAUGCUAUGGAGCAAAUGGAAACUAGUCGUAGCGUGUGACGUUCUGUUCCAUUUGGUACAUUCCAGCCAUGACUCUGAUCCAGCCCUCAUCAAUUAAGGUGCCGUUUAGUCACACGUUACUGUUACAAAAGUGAAAUGUCACUAUUUUGACAUACUCCAAUGAGAUUAUGUUGGCUGGUGAGCUGAGUUAACUCAGACACAAAGGAGCAACAUCUUCCUAAAUGACAUCACACUGGGCCUAUCUACUGACUACGUGCACAUGCCUUCCUUACAUCACCUUUCCAGUCUUAUUAAAUAACUUCCAUUAAAUCCUCAGCAUCGUUUAAUGAUUACAGCUUAAUUGAAACUUGGG
ensembl:lncRNA